GACGAACGCUGGCGGCGUGCCUAAUACAUGCCAGUAGAACGCACAGUUUAUACCGUAGCUUGCUACACCAUAGACUGUGAGUUGCGAACGGGUGAGUAACGCGUAGGUAACCUGCCUGGUAGCGGGUGAUAACUAUUGCAAACGAUAGCUAAUACCGCAUAAUAUUAAUUAUUGCAUGAUAAUUAAUUGAAAGGUGCAAUUGCACCACUACCAGAUGGACCUGCGUUGUAUUAGCUAGUAGGUGAGGUAACGGCUCACCUAGGCGACGAUACAUAGCCGACCUGGGAGGGUGAGCGGGCACACUGGGACGGGGAAACGGCCCAGACUCCUACGGGAGGCGGCAGUAGGGAAUAUUCGGGAAAGGAGGAAAGAAUGACGGAGAAAGGCCGAGUGAGGGAAGAAGGUUUGCGGAUCGUAAAGCGAUGGUGUAAGAGAAGAAAGGGUGUGAGAGUGGAAAGUUCACACUGGGAAGGUAUCUUACCAGAAAGGGACGGCUAAAUAAGUG
rnacentral:rRNA from 1 species